GCGCACGCACACACAUACACACACUCCUGCAGGAGGACAUCCAGGGUUUCAUAUCAGUGGAAUUUCAGUGGUAGUAUUCCCUUAUCUCAAACCACAGGUCCCACAGUCCAACCACUGCACAAAUGGAUUUACAAAGUAAAAAUGCGAGCAAUAGUCAUUGACCAUGUCAUUGUCUAUGGCAUGACAAUGGCUGAAGCAGGACUAAGAGUCCGUCCAAACCUGAGUGGGUUCACCGUGGCCACCAUUAUAAGGGCAUUCAGACAACACAACAGAGUUGAAAGAAUGCCACAUAGAGGUGGGAGGGUUGCCAUAUUUACAGCGGCACUAGAAACCCCUUUUUGUGGAUAUGGUUCGUGAGAACAACCUCAUCAGACUCCGGGAGAUCAAAGACAAAGUCAUUGCUGAUAAUGUCAACUUCGAGAGCAUUGAUGAUGUCAGCUUUGCCAAAAUAAACCGAAUUCUCAGGCUAUUCUAUAGGGUUCCCUUUGAGCACAAUAUUACUCUUUGUGCGGCCAUGGGUUUGGAGGGGCUUGUCCACUGGCAUGCUGUCCUUGGGUCUUACAACACCCAACGUCUCCUCACCUUCUUUGAGGAGCUAAAAGACAUCCUCCUGGACCGCCAACAACAACACCCUGAUCAUAUUUUCAAGAGUACUGUUGUGUGCAAUAGAUUCUGUUUUUGCAUUGAGUUGUAUUACAGUAGUGUACAUGCAGAAUUUACUAUAGAUUGAUACUCUUCAUAUGAAAUUUACAAAUCUAAAUGCCUAAUCCUCUGCAGAGAUCUAAGAACAUCCAUUACUGUAAGUUUCUAAAAAUUUGCAUUGGCAGUUAUGAAUCAAAGAACCUUCUCACAAAUUGAGCAUUGUGUUU